ensembl:lncRNA
UUUUAUUAUAUUCAGAAGGAGCUAAUAUGAGUUAAUAUGAAUUAAUAUGCAUAUCUUCAUCUGUAUCUAAUUUGACUAGAUGAUGCAAAUCAGAGGUAAAGUGGAAAGCACUUCUGAGCAUUCCCUUUUAGAAAGGUAGAAUCAUAGAAUCACCAAGGCUGCAAAAGACCUCUAAGAAUAUCCAGUCCAGCUGUCCACCUGUCACAAACAUUUCCCACAAAACCAUAUCCUUUGGUACAACAACUAAAUGUUUCUUGAGGAGUCUUGAGGAGUCACCAGGAAUGGUGACUCUACACCUCCCUGGGCAGACCAUUCCAGCUCCUGACCACUCACUCAGAGAAGUAUUUCCUAAUGUCCAACCAGAGUCUCCCUGGUGCAACUUGAAGCCAUUCCCUCUAGUUCUAUUACUAGUUACAUGGGAGAAGAGGCUCAGCCCCACCUCACCACAACCUCUCUUCAGGUAGCUGUAGAGAGUGAUAAGGUCUCCCCUGAGAAUUCUCUUUUCCAGCAUAAAUAAUUCCAGUUUCCUCAGCUGAUCCUCAUAAGGUUUGCACUUCAGACCCCUCAAUAGCUUCAUUGCCCUUCUCUGGACAUGCUCCAGGGCAUUGAUGUCUUUCUUGUAGUGAGAAGCCCAAGUACUCUAGGGGUGGCCUCACAAGGGCUAAAUACAGAGGGGCUCUGUAGAGUCUUCGUAUCUGCACGCAGAUUCCCAACUUGGUGUCAUCUGCAAACUGAUUGAGGGUGAACUCAAUCUCCUCAUCCAGGUCAUUAUUAAAGAUAGUGAACAGGACGGGCACCAAUACCAAUUCCUGGGGAACACCACUUGUGACCAAUUGUCAGUUGGAUUUAACUUCAUUCACCAUCACUCCCUGGGCACGGCCCUCCAGCCAGUUCUUUACCCAGCAAAGAGUACCUGUCCAAGCCAUGGGUUGCCAGCUUCCCCAGGAGACUUCUGUGGGAGACAGUGUCAAAGGCUUUGCUAAAGUCUAGGUAGACUACAUCAACAGCCUUUCCCUCACCCACCAAGCAGGUCACUUGAUCAUAGAAGGAGAUUGGGUUGGUCAAGCCUAGUCACAUCCUUCAUGAACCCUUGUUGGCUACUCCUGAUCCCCCAGCUGUCCCACUGGGACAAUCCUCUGGGACCUUGCCGGUUGAACAGGAAUGCUGAUAGAUGAUGGAAAGCACCUUGGCAACCACCUCCACCAGCUCCCUCAGCACCCUCAGACAGAUCCCAUCCAGCCCCAUGGACUUGUGGCAGUCCACGUGGAGUAGUAGGUCUCUGUUUCUACCUGAAUCAUGAGGGGUUUAUUCUGCUCCCCAUCUGAGACUUCCAGGUCAGAGGGUAGAGUAUCCCAAGGAGUCAUUCCUCAGGUCAGUUCUUCAUACGAAAAGCAGAGUUCACAGUUCUAGUGAUUGAUUCACAGACUAAUGCUAUUUUGCUUAACUGUUAGUUUGGAUAUAAUGCUGAUGGCCUUUGGACUAGCACCCUAUCAGAAACGUUGCAAUAUGACUCAUUAAUAUAGCAAAGCCAAGAGUGUUCCAAGAAACACUUUCAGUCCAUAAGUAGAGAAUGGCAUUUCUGUAGAUUCACAGCAGAGUGUGAAGGAUUGGAAGGGAUUAGCAAAAGCCUCUAGUCCACUUUCCUGAUCAAAACAGGUCCUACUAGAGCAGACUGUUGUAAGAGGUCACUCUUUUACGCCAUUGCCUCAAAGCUUGCUGAGGGACAAGAUGAACAAUUUCAAGCAAGUCCUGACCAAGGAUUGGGAAAUUCUUUGUCUGAAGGGACAACAGAUGGACAAGGCCAGGGGCAACGAGAGAGAGAUAAGUGGCAACUAAAUGGCCAGGAAACAGUCUUUUGUGUGGACUUAUCUCAAGGGAGACAGCCAUCUCAGGGGGUGCUCACAUGACUCUUACCAAGAGCCCAGGAAUGUCACGUAGGCAGGGAAGGAGGAUAAAAGAAGCUCCAAAAAACCAUGAAGGCAGGUUUCUGACAACAGAUUCCUCAUGACCUGGCUCUCCCUCCUGGACUUGCUCUGUGCUCUACCUGCUUGCUGCCUAAGGAUGGCCCCUCUGCUGCUGCUCUCCCCUGCGAGAAGGUGCCUGCCAUCAGAUCCCUCACUACGAAAGGCCUGCAUGCUGGCGGACUCUCCAGGGCCUGCUACCGGAGACCUGCUGCUUCCUCCUGGACUUCUUCCUGGACCUACUUGGUACCUGCACUCUCUUGCUGCCCAAGACCAGCCAUGCUGCUGCUGCUGCUCUUCCCCUGUGCUUUUGCCCCGGACCAUCGGAACAUUGUGCAAUGGGACAACUGCCGGAUCCUGGUGAGCCGAGGUCUGAGAAGAUUUGUAAGUCAGUGGAAUUUCUGCUUUGGAUGAAAUAACUCACGGUUGUAAAUCUAUGUGCUAGCACACUUCUUAAGCAAGAUACAGUACAGGGAAACUACAAAUAGUGUCUACGUUCCUUCUAUGUGGCUGAGAUUAGAAGACUGUUAACAAUAGAGAGUGGGAAAGUCUGGGACUGGAACGUCAAGAACAAACCGCAGAAGAAGAGAUAUGAAGAUCCCAUCGGCCUUCUUGGCAACCUGGCACCCUGCUGGCUCAUUUUCAGCAAGUUGUUGACCAGCACCUCCAGGACUAUUUCUGUCAAGCAACGUGUGAACCAGCCUUCCCCAAGCUUCGUUGUUUUGUUGCUACCCAAGUGCAGCACAUGACACUUAGCCUUGUUGAAUGUCAUUUUUAUUGGAUUUGGCCCAUUGAUCUAGUCCAUCCAGAUCCCUCUGCAAAGACUUCCUACACUAAGGAAUAUUAGCAAUCCUGACUUACUCACUGUAGUCUGUGAACUUACUGAGGAUGUACUCAAUUCUCUCAUUCUGACCAUUGAUUAAAAUGUUAAACAAAAGUGGCUUAAAGAUUGAGCCCUGUGGAAUGCCACUGAUGACAAGUUACCAACUGGACUGAACUCCAUUUGCUAGAACUCUUUGAGUCUGGCCACUCAGCCACUUCUUUGCCCAGAGAACUGUACACCUGUCCAAGCUAUGUGCAGCCAGUUCUUAUUCAGGAGAAUUCCGUGAGAAACAGUUAUACACUUUGGUCAGUCAGGACUUUCCGUUCACAAACACAAGCUGACUUGUUCUGACCACUGAAUUGUCCCUUCUUUGCUGUAUGAUGGCAUUCAAGAUGAUCAGGCCUAGACUCAGUAUAUGUAGCUCCUUCUGGCAUGAAACAGGUCCAUACAUGAUUGAAGUUAGUUGUCAUAUGCCAGUUUUGUUCAUUUCCUGAUAUUCUUUUUCUCUUCACACUUCCGUGAGAAAUUUAAACCCAAAGGAUUUCUUGAAAUACUGUUCACAUCUGAAAACUGGAAGUCAAAUAAUAAAAAUAUCCUGUUUGAUAUGAGGUCAAUCAUUAACGUAGACAAGGAAAAUUCACAGAGAAGAAUGCUCAGUAUCAAUAAAUUGUCCAAACACUUUUAUAGAAUACACAAAAGUAUUUACGGGGGGGUUAUAAGGAAACAGCAAUCAUUUCUACAGUUGAUCCAUUGUUGUAAAAACGGCCAAAAGGAACAGCUGAGUGAAUAAUUUCGUCAACAUCCUUUCCUCCCCUACACACGAACAUAACCAACUGCAGUGUGUUGAGAAAGAUACUAAUUAUUCAGCCUGUGCAGUUUUGUUUAAGACAUCUGCAAAAUGGAAAUCAAUAAAACCUGAUGUUUUGGAAAAAAGAAUGUUCUAAGCUCUUUUGAACAUUUUGUUCUAACCAUAUUAACUGUGAGUAUGCAAGUUGGCAUAUCAUAUUAGAAAUGACUGGUUAGAUCAGUGAGGAAAGUGAUCUCUGUUUUUGCAGAUUUCUACAUUUGUAAAUGCAGUUUAAAAGAAGGAUAGCAUAUAAAAUUGGAAGACUUUCUUGUUUUUUUCUAAAUUAUGAAAUGAUACAUUAAAACAUAUUUUGUGGGCGCUGUUUACUACUGGGAAGGCAUGUAAUUAUUCUUUUUUUUUUUUUUUUAAUGAAACAUUCACUAAAUAGCUGUUAUAUUGAAUAAAUAAUACAAAACACCCAGAGAGUUGUAUCACAAUUGCAAAGUAAGCAUACUUUUGAUUAUAUUGCUUUAGAAGUGAUGGGAAAUAAAAUUGCUGAUAUUUCUCAAUAAUUAUGCGUCCCAUAGGUAUUUUCUUCUCCCUAAAACAGAGGAGUAAACAAAUGCACUGAGCCAUUACAUUUCUGUAAUGACUUGCAAAAUCUACUGCUAAGAAACUUUUUGGAAAAACUGUUGGGUAAUUGAGCAUAUUAGUCUGAAUGGAGAGCUCUGAUUCAAAAGUAUUUUAGAUCCGCUUUACGUAGUUACAGUGCAAGAGUAGAGAAUUCAGGACACUUUAAAAUCUCACAAAGAGUUACUCGUGGUAGCUGUACUUCCUUUUAAUAAAGAACAUGAUUUUCAAGGUAGUUGUAAUCAAAUAUCAUGGAUGUAAUUGAAAUGAGUUUGCAGCCUUAAGAGAUUAUUACAAGAAGUACAUUUGUAAAGAUUUAAUUCAGUGUACAUAAAAAUUAAAUUUAAGUAACAAUUUGGAUUGGAUACAGUGUGGUUUGCACAAUUCUCUGGAUUAUGUCAUAAGAAUAUUUAAUAUCCAAAUUGUUGGAUUCGAGAUAUUUUCACCUGUUAUUUGGGAAAUUAUUUUAUUUUAAAAAAUAAUGAAAACGUUGUAUUAUUAUAUCCAAUAAGCAAUAUUUUUUUUUAGUACUGAAGAGCUAAGUAAAAAAAUCUGGGGAGAUUUUUGGGGAAAAAAAAGCAUUAUUUACCUGAAUUAACUUGAACUUGUGGGAUAUGAAUAUGUGUAUACAUUUGUGAGUGCACAUACACGUUUAUAUUUACAUAUGUAUACACACACAUAUAUGUAUAUAUAUCUAAACUUGUACAUCCUGUAUCCUAUAGGAUAAUUUUGUCCUUGCAGUCCAGAAAGCCAACCAUAUCCUGUGCUGCAUCAAAAGAAGUUGGACUAGAUGUCCUUCAGAGGUCCCUUCCAACUCUAUGAUUCUAUGAUUUUACAAUAACACUGAUAUUCUACUAAACCUGCCUGCUUCUGGAGUCUGAACUGAAAUUAGUCUUGUUAAUAUACUAGUAUAAACUAAUAUAUACUCAUACUUGCUAAUAAUAUAAGAAACUCACACAAAGAUGCUGGAAAUGUCAGUGUGAGACAGUAAGCAGACAGCUGGCUGCUUAACAGAGGUCAAGUUCCAGCUAUUCACACGGUGCUAUGGAAGAACAAGGUUUUGAUUAUCUACCCAUGUUAUGGAUGCAUUACAUAUUGAUCUGUUUGUUG